AUUGAACGCUGGCGGCAUGCCUUACACAUGCAAGUCGAACGGCAGCACGGGGGCAACCCUGGUGGCGAGUGGCGAACGGGUGAGUAAUGCAUCGGAAUGUACCCAGUAGUGGGGGAUAACUAGUCGAAAGACUAGCUAAUACCGCAUACGCACUACGGUGGAAAGCGGGGGAUCGCAAGACCUCGCGCUAUUGGAGCAGCCGAUGUCCGAUUAGGUAGUUGGUGGGGUAAUGGCCUACCAAGCCCGCGAUCGGUAACUGGUCUGAGAGGACGACCAGUCACACUGGGACUGAGACACGGCCCAGACUCCUACGGGAGGCAGCAGUGGGGAAUUUUGGACAAUGGGCGCAAGCCUGAUCCAGCAAUGCCGCGUGUGUGAAGAAGGCCUUCGGGUUGUAAAGCACUUUUGGCAGGAAAGAAAUAGUGCGUGCUAAUACCAUGCGCGAAUGACGGUACCUGCAGAAUAAGCACCGGCUAACUACGUGCCAGCCGCCGCGGUAAGAC
rnacentral:rRNA from 1 species